ACGGGAGGCAGCAGUGAGGAAUAUUGGUCAAUGGUCGGCAGACUGAACCAGCCAAGUCGCGUGAGGGAAGACGGCCCUACGGGUUGUAAACCUCUUUUGUCGGAGAGUAAAGUACGCUACGUGUAGCGUAUUGCAAGUAUCCGGAGAAAAAGCAUCGGCUAACUCCGUGCCAGCAGCCGCGGUAAUACGGAGGAUGCGAGCGUUAUCCGGAUUUAUUGGGUUUAAAGGGUGCGUAGGCGGCACGCCAAGUCAGCGGUGAAAUUUUCGGGCUCAACCCGGACUGUGCCGUUGAAACUGGCGAGCUAGAGUGCACAAGAGGCAGGCGGAAUGCGUGGUGUAGCGGUGAAAUGCAUAGAUAUCACGCAGAACCCCGAUUGCGAAGGCAGCCUGCUAGGGUGCGACAGACGCUGAGGCACGAAAGCGUGGGUAUCGAACAGGAUUAGAUACCCUGGUAGUCCACGCAGUAAACGAUGAAUACUAACUGUUUGCGAUACAAUGUAAGCGGUACAGCGAA
rnacentral:rRNA from 1 species